rnacentral:rRNA from 1 species
GACGAACGCNGGCGGCGUGCUUAACACAUGCAAGUCGAACGAAGAGCGAUGGAAGCUUGCUUCUAUCAAUCUUAGUGGCGAACGGGUGAGUAACGCGUAAUCAACCUGCCCUUCAGAGGGGGACAACAGUUGGAAACGACUGCUAAUACCGCAUACGAUCUAAUCUCGGCAUCGAGGAUAGAUGAAAGGUGGCCUCUACAUGUAAGCUAUCACUGAAGGAGGGGAUUGCGUCUGAUUAGCUAGUUGGAGGGGUAACGGCCCACCAAGGCGAUGAUCAGUAGCCGGUCUGAGAGGAUGAACGGCCACAUUGGGACUGAGACACGGCCCAGACUCCUACGGGAGGCAGCAGUGGGGAAUCUUCCGCAAUGGACGAAAGUCUGACGGAGCAACGCCGCGUGAGUGAUGACGGCCUUCGGGUUGUAAAGCUCUGUUAAUCGGGACGAAAGNCCUUCUGCGAAUAG